rnacentral:lncRNA from 1 species
CCAGAGCCGCAGCCGCCGCGCAGGCAGGGCCGGGCCGGGCCGGGUGCGCGGGCACAAAGGGGCCGCUGCACAUGGCAGGCAGGCGAGCAGAUGCCAGCAGACAGCUUUUGUCGUCCAGUCUCCCAGUCAUCCGCCUGACCUGCUCCUGUCUGAACAUCCUACCGCGAGUCAAGGCAAAUGGGCUCAGCCGCUGUUCCACUCCACCCAGGCUUGGAGUGGACUCCCCGUGAGCCUGCAGAGGGGCAGGAUGCUGAGUAGCAGGCCAUGCGGGUGCGCCCGGGGUCUCACCCCAGCCCCAGGGAAGAGGCUGUUUCAUUCAGUGAACCAAGAGGUGAUGAAGGGGAGAGCUCAAGCGGCCUCCUGUUCCCUUGGGAACUUGAGGGGGUGUCGGGAUGUGUUCCCUUUCUGCACUCAGCUGGGAAAGAGCUGGUGGAGAAUUUUCCCUUCUGAGCAGAGAGAGAAUUCUCUUCACCUCCCCCGCCCCGCCCCCGCCCACUCCCACAGCCACCAGUUCUCUGGGCAACCCUAGUUAGCAGUUUGGGCCUUUCUUUCUGCACACAAUUGACCUGGAGGGCCUGAGUCUGGUCCAUUCAGAGGCCACAUGGAACACUCUGUUUUUGUCACUGCCCUCUCAUCUUCUAGAAGCAUAACCUUAUCCAACAGAAAGAGGCAAAAGCGAUUGGGCCCGACCUCUCCCAGUGACAGUGUUUGCACUUCAUUCCAUGGCACAGCGUCUUCUGUAACUUUAAGAUUUAACAUUUCAGAUUAUUUUCCACUGGGGCUCCCAUCGAUGCUGAGUUCUGGCUACUUUUUUCCCCUGAUGCUGAAAGGUUCGAUUCUUCCAUCUAUCCAUCAACAAAUCACAUUGAAUGACGGUGCUCAGUGACCCAGGAUGCCACUGGAGACAAAACACACUAUACAUAUUUUCUGGUCUCCCUGGAAAAUUAGUGCAAACACUUUCAUCACUGCGGAGAAGGGAAAUAUGCGCGGAGCUGUGAAAAUCUGCUUUGUUUUUUGUUUUUCUAAGAGGAGAUUUCCCCCUCCUUCAAACAGUGAAAUUUAUAUUGUUCUUUGUCUGCAAAUUAACCAGUUAAGUAGAAUUCCUGUAUGUCUCUUUCACUUUCUGCAAGCCAAGGCCCCUCUUUCUCUCCACCCUGUAUUCAUACAUAGUCCAGGAUCACCCCCUGUCCCCCUCCAAUGCUGCUUGAAAUUUCAUUCCAUUUUCGUCCUGACUUGUUCAAAGUAACAUUUAAAAUAUUUUAAUUCAAAUUCUUAUCUCAUCCAUCCUGUUUAAGUUCCAUUUUAAAGAAUCUUCUUUUCUUA